CUUACAGUGAAAAUCAAGAAGAAAUCUAUUCCUGUGCGAGCCCCCAGAGCCAGGUUUACCCUCCAGUCUUUCUGAUGACACAAGGAACUGAAAGGCUGAGCAGGAUGACAUUUCUUGUUGCUGUCAGGCAGCACUCUUCUCUUAAAAAAAAGAAAUCUGCAUCUUUCUCUGAAGAAAGGCCUAGAAAAGCCAGGCGUUCUACCCUGACUCUGUUCAGUUCGGCUGCUGCAUUUCACCCUCACCUGCAGUGUGUAGAGGACGUUAUGCUAUGCUCAUUAUCCAUGUAAGGAGAUGAAUCAACCUGGGACUAUUAACAACCUUUGACCUCAAGAAGCACAAAAGCAAAUCAAGUCAGGCAGGUGUUUUUCUCUGCCUUCCGCUUGGCGAAGAAACCAGUGGUCAGACAUCUAGAAGCAGUCCUGAAAAGGACACUUGACACCCUUGCUUUUUACUUUUUUCCCUCCAUCAGAGGGACCUCCUGCCUGGAAAGUCUUAGGCUCUAGUAAUUAUCCUACUUUGUACCAGGUGGAGGUAAGAA